UCUGCCUUACAAGAUUCCCCAGCUGGUAAAAAAGCAAUGAAGUCAUCGUCGGGCCAGUAAAAAUAUAAAGAUCUUAAUACCCACCGUGGAUCAGGUUUCUAAUGAGGAUGAAUAGGGGAUGAGAUACAGAUACAGUCCCAAUGCCCUUUUUAAAAAAUAAGAAAAAAUAAUGAUUUUGUUAAAGACGUUGCAGACAAUAUGAAAAGCUGCAUGAUGAUUUUGAAACAUUUUUUAAAAGCAGAGAGGAAGAAUAAGGAUUUUCUGGGUUUUAGGAAGGGAGAGAAAAUAGGUAGUGUAUGAGCUCGAAGACACCACCAAAUCAGAAAUAGCAGUAUGUAAUAGGAAACAGAGAUCUUGGAUAAAAUCUACUUAAUCUACUCUUGUCUUGAAUCUAGUAAUGACAGGUAGCUAUGUAAUGGGUUUGUCUACUCGAUGCCAAGCUAAUAAGAUUUUCUUUUUCAUAAUGUGGUGAAUAUUUCAUAAGCAAUUGAAGGCAUCUACUUUCUCGGGAAGCAUAUUAGCCAAUUUUCCAGGUAGGAGCAGUAGAUUAACAGUGAGGGAAAAUGGAGUCAGGCUCUGCAGAGGCUCCUGCCUCCUCCAGUUGCAAAAUAACAGUGCUGUGACCUCAUGCUUCACCCACGUGGAGCCAGAAAUCCUGGGACAAUCACUGCAUUAUUACCCCCUGUCAAUGCCUUUGUACUAGAAAUUUCAGCAGCAUUGCCUUGGAAUCAAACGAAGGAUGGUUUAUCUGAAUAAACUGAGAAGGCACUAAGUUUAGCCACAAAUAGUGUGGAAGGAACAUGAAUGUUGGCCUCAACACUCUGAUGUUCUUCUAUACCUUCAACACAUCAUCUUAAAUUGUGGUCACAUCUUCAAAAAAUUUUUCAAGAAGUGACUUUCCUCUGAGAAGCUGAAGUUCACGAUUUUGGCUGGAUACAUACCUGGAAUCCCAA